GCAGUGAGUGCCAGAUAACAAACAGUCCAGGACAGAUAUGCGCAUUGCAAGAUAUCAUUCCACAGCCAUCAGACAGAAAAGGGAAAAGUUUCAAAUUCCUCAAAGUCCUGUUCCUGCCAGCUGCAGCAGGCAGCUGUACUACAAUCAAGAUUAUUCAAUUGGAUCCUUUUGAAGCCUGUAACAGCCCGUAGAUUAUGGGACAAGUCUGAAGGACUAUAUAAAAGCACCAGAAGGAAUCAUCAGGAGUCUUUGUGGACUAGAGACAAGCUGAGGAGAAAAACACCUAAGUGAAAUACAAAAGAGAUGACAAUGGGGCUCACAGCAGUGCAUAUACUUCUCUGUCUUCUGACUGCACCCACUUUUGCAACAAAAGAGUUUGGACUAAAUGUAAAUUCAGAGAUUACCAGGUGUGGCAAAGUUACCCUAAACUGCAACGUGUACUCAUCUCAAAAUGGAUUAUCAAUCAAAUUAAUGAAGUGGCACCUAAACAAUACACUUUUAUGCUCGUUGGACAGUGAAGGAAACGUUACCUCACACAGAAGAAUCCUAAGUGACUUCCAGUGUGAGUAUGAACAUAGACAAUUCUCCCUCAAGUUUCAAAAAUUGCAUCUACUGGAGAGUGGAAACUCAAGCGUCUACAAUUGCAAUCUACGUUCCAACCAAGGAAUUGCAAGUGAAAGAACGACAGUGGAGUUUCAAGAGUGCGAUUCGAGCAAUGUGAAGCCGCAAAUAUUAGACAUCCACAGCAUCACCACUGGAGCUGGAUCACAUGGACCUAUGACAAUAUUUUUGUAUAUUUUGAUCUUACUUGCUCUCACACUGAAAUAAUGAAUUUGCCAAAGUAAAUGCACGCCAGGGAGCGUGUGAAGACAGGGUACAACGAUAACAGAGGAACAAUACGCCACUGAGAUUUAUUUCAGAAUUUCACUUCCAGUGAAGUGAGUCAUCUUGCAAGUUAUUUUAUUCUUUCUUUUACCUCUGAGCUGAAGUCACUGUCAAUUGUCUGAUAAUCAUUACACUGUAUAAAAUGACUCUGAUGUUUUGUUUCGAUAGUUAGUCACAGAUGAGGGAGUAGAGCUUAUUGGUUCCUUUACACUCUUUCAAAAAACAACAAAUACACACAUAGAAACACACACACACACACACACACACACACACACACACACACACACACACAGAAACCUUUAUCUUGAGCUAUAGACCUUCUAGCCACAUAUUAUUUUCAGGAGUAUGGAUUUCUUUCUGAGAGAGUGAGAUGAAAAUGUCUGUUGACAAGUGUGUCCACCAUGUUUUUACGGGAGGGUUGUGUAUGUGUGACUGCUGUUUGAAUGCACGCUGUCUGCGAGAGCACCAUAAAAAGAAUAUCUGUCCGUCUCAUACAGAAUGAAAAGACCUCAAAAGACAGAGAGUGAAUUCCAGAAUUUCGGAAACACAGAAGCUUUUGUGUCUGAAGUAUAAGAUAGCUGGACUCAGGAAAUCUCAGUCAUGCAACCGCUCUGUCUGGGAUCUGUGGUUAGAUGCUGCCCUCUGGUGAACUAGUUGUGAUCAGUAAGACAUGUGAUUACUGAUUCAGGGGCAGGGGGCUGCCAGAUAGGGUGGGCAACAUGUGGUACAUUUAAAGUAUACUCCCUAAUGAUAUGUGGUCAGCUUUGGUUUUGACAUCUGACAAUUUUGUUUUCAUAUGUAGAAACAAUUUUUCUGUAGAAAGUGUGGUUGCAGAAAUUUUAGAGAUUUCAAACCUGGACAAACAAGACCAACCCUGUUUGUGGCUACAUUUCAGACAAUAAGUACAAAAAUGUUCUUUUUGUGCACACAGUCUUAGUCAGUGUCCUGAGAAGAGCAGAUACAGAUCACUUCUUCUGUUUAACCAUCUUCAACUAGCCCUCUGCCUCUCCCCAGUCAAGUCUUUGCAGGUAUAGCUUGAAGCUGGAGGACAAACCCGGCUCAGGGACUAAAACUCUGCCUUUUUCACGCUUCAGUGCACCUUCCAUAGACAGGAACAUUUGCCUUUUCAAAUCAGAAUGACUCACUGCUAAUGCUGUCACUAAAACAGUGCCAUGCAGGGGCAGGAUGAGCUUUCAGCAAGACGUUGCUGCGGCUGGGUAAACAAAUACGAGGUCACCUUGACCAAUCCAGCACACAAGGAUGCAUCCAGACACAGGCACACACACCCAUUCAAGAUUUACCAUUUCAAGAUUAGUACAGUUAGGAACUGUUUUUUGUUGUUGUUGUUGUUGAUGUGUUCGUUUAGUUUAGUUUUUAUUUGUUGUUUUAAAUUUGGUGCAUUAGCUGGUAUAAAUGUUCACAAAUCCUAGCCAGUAAUAAUUACUGUAUCCUUUCAGAAUGAAGCCUUUAAUGGGAAAUAAAGAACAUUAUGAAUGAAA